rnacentral:sRNA from 17 species
AGUUGCUCAUUCAACUUAUUAUGAUAGUCCCGCGAUUAAGCGGAAUAUGCGCUUCAUAAACCAUCGAAUGAUGCCUAAGACUGGUACCUAUCGUCCACCAAACCGAUAUCGUGUGAAUUCACUUUAUCAAACAUCGGACGACACGUUGAGUGAGGUACCGCCUA